GUACACGCUGUGACUAGCAUAUCAAUAAGCGGAGGAAAAGAAACUAACAAGGAUUCCCCUAGUAACGGCGAGUGAAGCGGGAAGAGCUCAAAUUUGAAAUCUUAAAGGGUUUCCCUUUACGAAUUGUAGUUUAAAGAAGUGUUUUCUGUUGAGGUUUUGGUAAAAGUUCUUUGGAAUAGGACAUCAUAGAGGGUGAGAAUCCCGUAUUUGACCUUUACUUUCAACUUUGUGAUACACCUUCAAAGAGUCGGAUUGUUUGGGAAUGCAGUCCAAAAUGGGUGGUAAAUUUCAUCUAAAGCUAAAUAUUGGCGAGAGACCGAUAGCGAACAAGUACCGUGAGGGAAAGAUGAAAAGAACUUUGAAAAGAGAGUUAAACAGUACGUGAAAUUGUCAAAAGGGAAGCGUUUGACACCAGUGCUGUUUUUCUGAAAAUCAAUUAAAGAACUGUUUAUGCUAAGCUGUUUAGACUUUAUCAGCUAUCUGUUUAGUUUUGAGCUUUUCUUUAAUGCACUUUUCAGUUAACAAGUCAACAUCAAUUUCUUUUGCUGUAAAAAAGCUUGAGGAAGGUGGCUUGAGAUUCGUCUUAAGUGUUUAUAGCCUCUUGCCUAUGCAGUCGGAGAGAUUGAGGUCUGCUGCGUAGAUCCUUCGGGACUAAAUGCAUUUGUGCUAAGUUAUAGCAUUUUAUAGACAACUUGUUGACUAUGAUUUGUCUUGUAGCUUACUCGCUUAUGUUAUUUUACCUACGCUUAGGAUGUUGACGCGCGUGUGUGCGUG
rnacentral:rRNA from 1 species